GUGUGUGUGUGUGUGUGUGUGUGUGCGCGCGCGCGCAUGUGCGCAAGGGAUAGAAGGUGUCAUCUGUGGAGCCCUUUUUGUUUAUUCUAUCAAAAAGGCAACUGGUACCGUAUAUGAGGCGAAAUGGAAGGUCCCAACAUGAACAUUAAAUUGACUUUGGAAGGCUCCAGGCAUUCCUGCUCGACACCACAUUAGACCCGGCUACUCCCCACCUCGAGAUGAUGGGCAGCCUGCCAGGUAGGGGUUGCCAUGACUCCUAACACCACCCCUUCCCUCUGCACUCCCUCUCCCUUGAAGGUGCCAAAUUUUCGGGCAGGCUGGGCUGGCCAAGGUUUUGAUUUAGACAAAAGAUGUCUUCACAAUGUCAGCAGAAUGCUUUAUGGAAAUGCUGUGGCUUUCUGGUAGGAAACCAUGUGACCCCCUCGGCCAAGGUUUUGUUAUGGUGCAAGGAGGAAGAGAAAGAGAGAAUGCGAUGCCAGCAAAGGGUUAUGCUUUCUUUUUUUUGUCUUUCUUUCAUUCUUGUGUUUGCUUAGAAAAUGGCGGAUGGUGCGGUGCUGAAAUUAACCCGACUUGCCAAUGGAGAUGGGCACAAAAACAUAGCUUGACUUUUAUUUUAUCAGAAGCGGAUGCUUUUUGCAUGGCACCCACGUUUCAUCUAUUUUUGAUUCAAGCUCAAUCCUGCUUCCUGUCUGUCUGUCUCCGGCCGCGUACAAAAGAGAGGUCAGAACAAUCCAAACCAAAUAGAGAUGAUGAAUGCCAAAUGGUUAGUAGAGAUCUGGGGAUAGGAAGAGAGUGAGAUUACUCCAUACCCUGUAAGGCACACAAUCAACAAGAUACCGUGACAAGAUCCUGAGGCCAUUGUCGUGCCACUCAUCCGCCACCAUCACCUCAUGUUUCAGCAUGAUAAUGGACGCAAGGAUCUGUAUACAAUUCCUGGAAGCUGAAAAUGUCCCAGUUUUUCCAUGGCCUGCAUACUCACCAGACAUGUCACCCAUUGAGCAUGUUUGGGAAAGGCUGGAUCGCCGUGUACAACAGCGUGUUACAGUUCCCGCCAAUAUCGAGCAACCUUGCACAGCAAUUGAAGAGUAGUGGGACAAUAUUCCACAGGCCACAAUCAACAGCCUGAUCAACUCUAUGCGAAGGAGAUGUGUCGCACUGCAUGAGUCAAAUGGUGGUCACACCAAAUACUGACUGGUUUUAUGAUCCACUCCCCUACCUUUUUUAUAAAGGUUUCUGUGACCAACAGAUUGCAUAUAUGUAUUACCAGUCAUGUGAAAUCCAUAGAUUAGGGCCCAAUGAAUGUAUUUCAAUUGACUGAUUUCCUUGUUAAUUGUAAAUCAGUAAAAUAUUUUAGGUCAAUAUACUAUAGUUUACUAUAGCACUAUCUGUACUAUUUGUGACAUAAAUUGAGUAUGUAGUAUGCUUAUUGGUCAUAGUAUACUUAGUAUGCCAAAAGAUCCCGAAUGUCGUACUGAAUUCGCCAAAAUAUGAAGUAUACAAGCAGUGGAAACUAUUUUGGAGCUACAAUGUAGUAUAGUAUUUUACAGUAUACUACAGAAUUCUAUAGUAAGUAUUUGUUCAUGUGGGUUGACAUUAUCACAACCAAUCUCCUGUGAGCUGAGUGGCGAAUCCCAGCCACACUUUGAGGCCUAGAUGGUUAGACAUAAACAUCAAGUAUGAAAUGUAAUCAUAAUAAAUCUGAGAUUCUCUGUUUAGCAGAUGCUUUUGUUCCAGAAAACAACUGACAUCGCCCACAGCUUUUAUUACAUAUCCAUUUGCACUGCAGAAUAUAGUUCCCAGGUUCAACCAGGUUAAGUGCCUUUCUCAAGGGGUUUAGUGGCUUGAUUAUCCCACCUAACUACCUGCCUGGAACCAAGGCCAUUCCCCAAACUGCUUCAGCAGACAGAGAGACUGCUGUAAUGUUUAAACUAUUCAGCAUGGGAGGGAACAGUCUGUAUGUUUAUAUGUUUCCAUGCACUGAGACUUAGUUAUAAUCUAUGGGCCCUUGUCCUCUACAAUGACGUUGGGGAGGAGUAGUGAUAUGUGGUCUGGUCUGUGGUUUAAACCUGCCCCAGCCUUGGAAGGUCUGUCUACUAAGAUCAGGGCUCUGAUUCUGGCUCUCUCUUUCUUUCUGGCAGUCGUUCACAGCUUGUAAAAUGAGUCGGAUCACCACAAAGGAGAACAAAAUGCAUAUGUGGAUCCAUUUUCUUAGUCUACAGUACAUUUCAUACUGAAUUAGAAAUGUACUGAAAGCGGGACACUAAUCCGGACGCUUAUAAGAAAUCCCGCUACGCCCUCAGACGAACCAUCAAACAGGAAAAGCGCCGAUACAGGAUUAAGAUUGAAUCCUACUACACCGGCUCUGACGCUCGUCGGAUGUGGCAGGACUUGAAAACUAUUAUGGACUACAAAGGGAAACCCAGUCAUGAGCUACCCAGUGAUGUGAGCCGACCAGAAGAGCUAAAUAUAUUUUAUGCUCGCUUCGAGGCAAGCAACACUGAAGCAUGCAUGAGAGCAC